rnacentral:lncRNA from 1 species
AGGUAACACAUAAAAAAAGAUGCUACCACAUGUACUUCUGAUUGGGCUAUUCAAGCAAUAAGAAGAAGAAAUUCAACAGAGGGCAUCUAUAUACUUGUGUGUACUCUGUGGAACAUUACUGAAGCAGCAAAAAGCAGCAUUAUGCAGAUUAGGUACUCUGUGGUAGUACUCAAACCACAGCUGCCAUCACAAUUUGGCAAGGAACCAUACUUGAGCAAGGAUUUCCCAACUUGUUCAGCCCCUUAUGAAUGCACCAUGAAGUAUCCAGGUACUCUGUCAGAUUCUUCUUAUUGCUUGAAUAGUCCAAUCAAUGUGGUAGCAUCUUUUUUGCGUGAUAUCUCAUGGUCUGAAGGUGAUAUUAAAAAAAUUUUUAAAACAAAAGUUCUUUAUUUUUUUAGUUAUAUCCAAUUAUGCCCAGGUCGGCAUAUGUUUUCUUUGGAG